rnacentral:rRNA from 1 species
AACGAACGCUGGCGGCAUGCCUAACACAUGCAAGUCGAACGAGACCUUCGGGUCUAGUGGCGCACGGGUGCGUAACGCGUGGGAACCUGCCCUUAGGUUUGGAAUAACUCCCCGAAAGGGGUGCUAAUACCGGAUAAUGUCUUCGGACCAAAGAUUUAUCGCCUUUGGAUGGGCCCGCGUUGGAUUAGCUAGUUGGUAGGGUAAAAGCCUACCAAGGCGACGAUCCAUAGCUGGUCUGAGAGGAUGAUCAGCCACACUGGGACUGAGACACGGCCCAGACUCCUACGGGAGGCAGCAGUGGGGAAUAUUGGACAAUGGGCGAAAGCCUGAUCCAGCAAUGCCGCGUGAGUGAUGAAGGCCUUAGGGUUGUAAAGCUCUUUUACCCGGGAUGAUAAUGACAGUACCGGGAGAAUAAGCGCCGGCUAACUCCGUG